AUUGAACGCUGGCGGCAUGCUUUACACAUGCAAGUCGAACGGUAACAGGCCUUCGGGUGCUGACGAGUGGCGAACGGGUGAGUAAUGCAUCGGAACGUGCCCAGAGGUGGGGGAUAACGCAGCGAAAGCUGUGCUAAUACCGCAUGUGAUCUGAGGAUGAAAGCGGGGGACCAGGCAGCAAUGUUUGGCCUCGCGCCUUUGGAGCGGCCGAUGUCAGAUUAGGUAGUUGGUGGGGUAAAGGCCUACCAAGCCGACGAUCUGUAGCUGGUCUGAGAGGACGACCAGCCACACUGGGACUGAGACACGGCCCAGACUCCUACGGGAGGCAGCAGUGGGGAAUUUUGGACAAUGGGCGCAAGCCUGAUCCAGCAAUGCCGCGCGCGGGAAGAAGGCCUUCGGGUUGUAAACCGCUUUUGUACGGAACGAAAAGGCUCUGGCUAAUACCUGGGGCUGAUGACGGUACCGUAAGAAUAAGCACCGGCUAACUACGUG
rnacentral:rRNA from 1 species